rnacentral:tRNA from 1 species
GAGGCUGUAUCUCAGUGGUAGAGCAUGUGCUUAGCAUGCACGAAGUCCUGGGUUCAACCCCCAGUACCUCCA